rnacentral:lncRNA from 1 species
CCUUUUUCUUCAUAGAUCUACACAUGUAGUGGAUGAUUUCCUGCAAAAUAACGACAUUAUCAUAACAUAGCAUAUUGAUAUGAUAAAUGUUUGAUGAUGCUAUAUUGAUUGUGAAAUUGAUGACAAUGUGAUAUUCAUGAUGAAAUGACGAUGAUGUAGAAUAGUGACGAUGAAUAUAUAUAUAUAUAUAUAUAUAUAUAUAUAUAUAUAUAAAGUGACGUUGAUGAUGAUGUGUGUUGUAUUGUAUGAAUAUAUGCAUUGUCGAGUUAUAUGUUCAUGCGUACAUGGCCAAUCCAGUGACAAUGAGAUCCCUCAUAAACAUACUUCUGAUAUCCAAAGUGACAAUGGGAUCACUAGGUAACAUAACUCUGAUAUCCAAAAUGGUACCACAUGCGUAUAGAGUCGUGUCUAGAACAUAGCAUGUGUAACACCCCGUUUUCCCAACUUGAAAAAUUAAUACAUAAUAAUCAGAGUAAUCAACUUAAACAGGAUGUCACACUACUUUAAAAGAUAAAUAGAGUAGAAUUACUAUUUAUUUAAGGCUUAAUUGCACUUUUGGACCCCUAUCUUUCCAAAAGUUGCGGUUAUAGACCCCUAACUAAUUUAAAUACAUAACAGCCCCCUAUGUUUUGAUUCUUUGGCAGUUUUGGCCCCCCAAGGCAAAAUAAAAAUAAAAAAUUUGACACAUGGCACCUCACUUAGGGUGCCACGUUAGCGUUGACCGAGUCAACACUGGACUGGGGGUUCAAAACUGCCAAAGAAUCAAAACAUAGGGGGCUGUUUUGUAUUUAAAUUAGUUAGGGGUCCAUAACCGCAACUUUUGGAAAGAUAGAGGUCCAAAAGUGCAAUUAAGCCUUUAUUUAAACAUCUUUCAUCAAUAAUUCAAAUUACAUCGCAGCGGAAAAACAUUUCAUUAUUCAACAAAAUGGCACUACGGCAUCAACAUAAACAACUUAUUAAAAUUUCAUUCUAGGUAGUUCAUCAACAUAAUUCAUAAUAAUACGUAACAAAUGAAAAACAACACAAAUAUCUCCAUUCCGUUACGUAUCAGAGAGACCCUAAGACGACGCGUGAGAGAGUCAACUCACUUCAACAACUAAUCCUGGUUAUCUGCACGUUACCCACGUAGACACAACGCGUUAGACCAAAUCCAAUGGAAAGCUAACAAAAUUAUCUAAAACUUUCAUGUUUACACCAAAGGCCAAUUCAAAACCGAAACGUGUGAAAAAGACGCAAGAACAUAAAACAGGGUAUGCUAUCACUGUGCAAUUUCGCUAAUGGCGAAAAGUUAGCUAGUAGCGAAAUUGUUACAGAGGAUUUCGCCAAUAGCGAACUUCUAGCGAGUUUUUCCCCUGCUGUUACGAUUUCUGCACAUUUUUCACCCAAAAAACCCAAAUUUCAUCUACCCAAAUCCCAAAUUUGAUAGGAAACUUAACCUAUGAUUAUUCUACAAUCUGAAUAACAAUUCUCACCAUGAUUCAUUGGAUUACAUACACUUUCAAAAAUCAAAUUGAAAUUCAAAACCUAAUUUCAUUAACAUCAUAAUUUCAAUAAUCAAUUUUAACCCGAAUUUCUAUAACAACAAAACUAACAAGGCUAAACUGCAUUUUUCACCCCCUAUGUUUCAAAAUAUUGCAAUUUUGGUCCCCUAUUAAAAAAAUAGCAAUUUUGGCCCCUUUCAUCCAAAAAUUGUUGAGAAGACGCCACAUGUCCCAAAAAAGGGGCCAUAAUCACAACUUUUUGUAAAGAUAAGGGGUCAAAAAACAUAUUUCCCUUAUGUUAGGAGGUCAAAAGAGCGUAUUUCCCUAAACAUAGGGGGUCACUUUUGCCAUUUUUUUUAAUAGGGGGUCAAAAUUGCAACAUUUUAAAACUUAGAGGGUGAAAAGUGAAGUUUAGCCAACUAACAAAACAACAUGUUAAACCCCUAUUCCAGAAUUAUAAACCUAAUUCCUAUAACAUCAAAACUAACAACAACUACAAGGUUAAACCCUUUUCAGAAUUAUACAACUCAUUAUUAGAGAAAGCUAGUCCCACCCUUACCUUAGAUUAGAUGAUCGGACUCUACAAGAUUGUUCCUCCUAUCUCACAAGAUUCUUCUCUUCUCUGACUUCUCACUUUCUCCCUUUUUCUCCCAAAAACUGUUUUCACGUAAUCCUUAUUUUCUAAUUCUAACUCUCCCCUUGUAUAUAAGUCCUUAACCUACUUAUUUUCUCUUAUUUCCAAAUCUGUCAUCCAAGUCUCAAUAUUCUAUUCUAAUAUAUAUAUAAAAUAUUUCUAUAAAAAAUAACAAAUAUAUUUAUACACCAGAUAACAUAUAUAUUUCUACACCAAAUAACAAAUAUAUUCCUACACCACAUAACAUAUAUUUCCACACCAAAUAACAUAAUAUUUCCACACCAAAUAACAUAAUAUUUCUACACCAAAUAUCAUAAUAUAUUAUACUAAUAAAUACCAACAUAUAAUAUAACAAAAUAUUACUCAUCAAAAUAAAUCGACUAAAUUAUAAAAAGACAUCUAAACUCAAUAAAAUAAAUAAAUAAUAAAAUAGGGUUUACAACAUGCAUACAAGUCUAUGUGAGAGCCGUGAUUUGAUUAUGUGAAUAUAUGUGAAGAUGUGUGCCUAAUGAUGUGUGUUCAUGUGAUAUUUGGUGAUGGUGUCGAAGCAUGAAUUAUAUAUUUUUGAUUUAGCGAUGAAGUGAUAAUGCAAUUACUUUUUAUAUCAUGUGUUUAUGAUAUGAGAUUUAAUAUGUUUGUUGAUUGACUAAGUAUGAAUGUAAUGAUGAUAGUUUAGGAAAUGAAUAUGUAUAUCCAUAUGCGAUGUUUUAAAUUCCUAAAUACUAUGCUUUUAUUCAUAUCUUUUUAUGUGAAUGUUGAUCUUACCCUCUAGUGGCAAUUUGGUCGCUUGAUCGACGUGAGUACCGGAGGAGGACUUGAGGCCUAUCCUCCUUCUUUGCUUUUGUUUUUGGAGUCUUAGUGGUUGUACUAUGAUUAGGGUGUUUGGGAGACUAUUUAUCUUUACUUUUGGAUUUUUAUGUUUUAGAGGAGCUUAGAGUUAUCUGGAUGAUGUAGUAUGAGAUGUUGAGAUGAUAACUUUAUGUUGUGACUCCGCUGCGACUGUUUUAUGAUUAUAAUGAUUUAUGACUAUUUUGGAUUUAUGAUGAAGUAGCACCUUGAACCUUUGUGAUUAUCUGUUGAUUUAUUAUUAAAUAUCGUAUUGGGGUUUGAGAGAGUUACAUGAUUGACAUUUUUUUAUACUACAACUUAGACAGUGUAUACUUGCACUAAGUUUUUCCACCUUAAAAUAUUUAGUGUUUUGGGAGACACCACAAGUGCAGAAACAAACAAAGAAAUUCAAUGACAAAGAAAAUAUAACAAGUCAUUUUAUUAGAAGCAAAGUAAUUUCAAAUGACUACUCAACGACAUUAUCUAUUUGAGGCAAUUUGAUGUGCUAUAACUUCUUCAACAACCGCUCUCUUGUUCUCUCAUAUAUAAGGACCUUAGCAGUUGAAUAAAGACAACAAGACUUAUAUCAUUUUUCACAAGUCCCUUACUCUAUUUGCCAUGAUCUUCAUUUCUCUAUUUGUUGUUGCAUUGAAUGUUGACGGUAAGCCAUUUUGUAUCAUCAAUGCAAAAUACAUAUGAUAAGAAAGAGUUCAUAUGAUUGGUCAUUUUUUUAUAUUACCUUUUUACAAAGUUUA